rnacentral:rRNA from 1 species
GACGAACGCUGGCGGCGUGCCUAAUACAUGCAAGUCGAGCGGACUUUCCGGAGUGCUUGCACUCCGGAAGGUUACCGGCGGGCGGGUGGUGAACACGUAGGCAACCUCCCCAUAAGACCGGGAUAACAUUCGGAAACGAAUUCUAAUUCCGGAUAGACCGACUUCUCGCAUGAGGGGAUCGGGAAAGGCGGAGCAAUCUGCCGCUGAUCGAUGGGCCUGCGGCGCUUUGGAUAGUUGGGGGGGUAGCGGCCUACCAAGGCGACGAUGCGUAGCCGACCUCGGAGGGGGGUAGGCGACCCUGGGACGUGGACGGGGACAAGGCUACUGAGGCAGGGAGCAGUAGGGAAUCGUACGCAAUGGACGCAAGUAUGACGGAGCAGGGCAGCGUGAGUGGGGAAGGCCUCGGGGUCGUAAAGAUCUGUUGCCAGGGAAGAACGGGCAGGGGAGUAACUGACCUUGACAUGACGGUACCUGAGAAGAAAGCCCCGGCUAACUACGUG